GCGGUGGCGGCUGCUACCAUGCAGUCGAGCGGUAGCACAGAGAGCUUGCUCUCGGGUGACGAGCGGCGGACGGGUGAGUAAUGUCUGGGAAACUGCCUGAUGGAGGGGGAUAACUACUGGAAACGGUAGCUAAUACCGCAUAACGUCGCAAGACCAAAGUGGGGGACCUUCGGGCCUCAUGCCAUCAGAUGUGCCCAGAUGGGAUUAGCUAGUAGGUGGGGUAACGGCUCACCUAGGCGACGAUCCCUAGCUGGUCUGAGAGGAUGACCAGCCACACUGGAACUGAGACACGGUCCAGACUCCUACGGGAGGCAGCAGUGGGGAAUAUUGCACAAUGGGCGCAAGCCUGAUGCAGCCAUGCCGCGUGUAUGAAGAAGGCCUUCGGGUUGUAAAGUACUUUCAGCGGGGAGGAAGGCGAUAAGGUUAAUAACCUUGUCGAUUGACGUUACCCGCAGAAGAAGCACCGGCUAACUCCGUGCCAGCAGCCGCGGUAAUACGGAGGGUGCAAGCGUUAAUCGGAAUUACUGGGCGUAAAGCGCACGCAGGCGGUCUGUCAAGUCGGAUGUGAAAUCCCCGGGCUCAACCUGGGAACUGCAUUCGAAACUGGCAGGCUAGAGUCUUGUAGAGGGGGGUAGAAUUCCAGGUGUAGCGGUGAAAUGCGUAGAGAUCUGGAGGAAUACCGGUGGCGAAGGCGGCCCCCUGGACAAAGACUGACGCUCAGGUGCGAAAGCGUGGGGAGCAAACAGGAUUAGAUACCCUGGUAGUCCACGCCGUAAACGAUGUCGAUUUGGAGGUUGUGCCCUUGAGGCGUGGCUUCCGGAGCUAACGCGUUAAAUCGACCGCCUGGGGAGUACGGCCGCAAGGUUAAAACUCAAAUGAAUUGACGGGGGCCCGCACAAGCGGUGGAGCAUGUGGUUUAAUUCGAUGCAACGCGAAGAACCUUACCUGGUCUUGACAUCCACAGAACUUGCCAGAGAUGCCUUGGUGCCUUCGGGAACUGUGAGACAGGUGCUGCAUGGCUGUCGUCAGCUCGUGUUGUGAAUGUUGGGGUUAAGUCCCGCACGAGCGCACCUUAUCCUUUGUUGCCAGCGGGUUAGCCGGAACUCAAAGGAGACUGCCAGUGAUAACUGGAGAAGGGUGGGGGAUGACGUCAAGUCAUCAUGUCCUAACGAACAAGGCCUACCACAACGUGCUACAAUGGGCGCUAUUACCAGGAGGAGUG
rnacentral:rRNA from 1 species